rnacentral:rRNA from 1 species
AGUGAACGCUGGCGGUAGGCCUAACACAUGCAAGUCGAACGGCAGCACAGUAAGAGCUUGCUCUUACGGGUGGCGAGUGGCGGACGGGUGAGGAAUACAUCGGAAUCUACUUUUUCGUGGGGGAUAACGUAGGGAAACUUACGCUAAUACCGCAUACGGCCUACGGGUGAAAGCAGGGGAUCUUCGGACCUUGCGCGAUUGAAUGAGCCGAUGUCGGAUUAGCUAGUUGGCGGGGUAAGGGCCCACCAAGGCGACGAUCCGUAGCUGGUCUGAGAGGAUGAUCAGCCACACUGGAACUGAGACACGGUCCAGACUCCUACGGGAGGCAGCAGUGGGGAAUAUUGGACAAUGGGCGCAAGCCUGAUCCAGCCAUACCGCGUGGGUGAAGAAGGCCUUCGGGUUGUAAAGCCCUUUUGUUGGGAAAGAAAAGCAGCAGGUUAAUACCCCGCUGUUCUGACGGUACCCAAAGAAUAAGCACCGGCUAACUUCGUG